rnacentral:rRNA from 1 species
GAUGAACGCUAGCGGGAGGCCUAACACAUGCAAGCCGAGCGGUAUUUGUUCUUCGGAACAGAGAGAGCGGCGCACGGGUGCGGAACACGUGUGCAACCUGCCUUUAUCUGGGGGAUAGCCUUUCGAAAGGAAGAUUAAUACCCCAUAAUAUAUUGAGUGGCAUCACUUGAUAUUGAAAACUCCGGUGGAUAGAGAUGGGCACGCGCAAGAUUAGAUAGUUGGUGAGGUAACGGCUCACCAAGUCAAUGAUCUUUAGGGGGCCUGAGAGGGUGAUCCCCCACACUGGUACUGAGACACGGACCAGACGCCUACGGGAGGCAGCAGUGAGGAAUAUUGGACAAUGGGUUAGCGCCUGAUCCAGCCAUCCCGCGUGAAGGACGACGGCCCUAUGGGUUGUAAACUUCUUUUGUAUAGGGAUAAACCUACUCUCGUGAGAGUAGCUGAAGGUACUAUACGAAUAAGCACCGGCUAACUCCGUG